CACAUGACUCUCGGCAACGGAUAUCUUGGCUCUCGCAUCGAUGAAAACGCAGCAAAAUGCGAUACCUGGUGUGAAUUGCAGAAUCCCGUGAACCAUCGAGUUUUUGAACGCAAGUUGCGCCCGAGGCCUUUUGGUCGAGGGCACGUCUGCCUGGGCGUCACGU
rnacentral:rRNA from 1 species